rnacentral:rRNA from 1 species
AGAGUUUGAUCCUGGCUCAGGAUGAACGCUGGCGGCGUGCUUAACACAUGCAAGUCGAACGGGAAACAUUUUAUUGAAGCUUCGGCAGAUUUAGCUUGUUUCUAGUGGCGGACGGGUGAGUAACGCGUGGGUAACCUGCCUUAUACUGGGGGAUAACAGCCAGAAAUGACUGCUAAUACCGCAUAAGCGCACAGAACCGCAUGGUUCGGUGUGAAAAACUCCGGUGGUAUAAGAUGGACCCGCGUUGGAUUAGCUAGUUGGCAGGGCAGCGGCCUACCAAGGCGACGAUCCAUAGCCGGCCUGAGAGGGUGAACGGCCACAUUGGGACUGAGACACGGCCCAGACUCCUACGGGAGGCAGCAGUGGGGAAUAUUGCACAAUGGGGGAAACCCUGAUGCAGCGACGCCGCGUGAAGGAAGAAGUAUCUCGGUAUGUAAACUUCUAUCAGCAGGGAAGAUAAUGACGGUACCUGACUAAGAAGCCCCGGCUAACUACGCGCCAGCAGCCGCGGU